CGGUUUGGCACCUCGAUGUCGGCUCACCGCAUCCUGGGGCUGAAGCAGGUCCCAAGGGUUGGGCUGUUCGCCCAUUAAAGCGGCACGCGAGCUGGGUUUAGAACGUCGUGAGACAGUUCGGUCCCUAUCCUCUGUAGCCGUAGGAGAUUUGAGAAAAGCUGUCCCUAGUACGAGAGGACCGGGAUGGACGCAGCUCUCGUGUGCCAGUUGUUCCGCCAGGAGCAUGGCUGGUUGGCGACCUGCGGGAAGGAUAAGCGCUGAAAGCAUCUAAGCGCGAAACCUGUUUCGAGAUGAGAUCUCCCACUGGACAACCAGGUAAGGCCCGUGGCAGAACACCACGUUGAUAGGCCGGAUGUGUAAGCGCGGUGACGUGUUCAGCAGACCGGUACUAAUCGGCCGAGGGCUUGGGCUCGGU
rnacentral:rRNA from 1 species